GACGAACGCUGGCGGCGUGCUUAACACAUGCCAGUCGAACGGAAAGGCCCUGCUUUUGUGGGGUGCUCGAGUGGCGAACGGGUGAGUAACACGUGAGUAACCUGCCCUUGACUUUGGGAUAACUUCAGGAAACUGGGGCUAAUACCGGAUAGGAGCUCCUGCUGCAUGGUGGGGGUUGGAAAGUUUCGGCGGUUGGGGAUGGACUCGCGGCUUAUCAGCUUGUUGGUGGGGUAGUGGCUUACCAAGGCAUUGACGGGUAGCCGGCCUGAGAGGGUGACCGGCCACAAUGGGACUGAGAUACGGCCCAGACUCCUACGGGAGGCAGCAGUGGGGAAUAUUGCACAAUGGGCGGAAGCCUGAUGCAGCAACGCCGCGUGCGGGAUGACGGCCUUCGGGUUGUAAACCGCUUUCGCCUGUGACGAAGCGUGAGUGACGGUAAUGGGUAAAGAAGCACCGGCUAACUACGUG
rnacentral:rRNA from 1 species